UACCUUUUGUAUAAUGGGUCAGCGACUUAUAUUCUGUAGCAAGGUUAACCGAAUAGGGGAGCCGAAGGGAAACCGAGUCUUAACUGGGCGUUAAGUUGCAGGGUAUAGACCCGAAACCCGGUGAUCUAGCCAUGGGCAGGUUGAAGGUUGGGUAACACUAACUGGAGGACCGAACCGACUAAUGUUGAAAAAUUAGCGGAUGACUUGUGGCUGGGGGUGAAAGGCCAAUCAAACCGGGAGAUAGCUGGUUCUCCCCGAAAGCUAUUUAGGUAGCGCCUCGUGAAUUCAUCUCCGGGGGUAGAGCACUGUUUCGGCAAGGGGGUCAUCCCGACUUACCAACCCGAUGCAAACUGCGAAUACCGGAGAAUGUUAUCACGGGAGACACACGGCGGGUGCUAACGUCCGUCGUGAAGAGGGAAACAACCCAGACCGCCAGCUAAGGUCCCAAAGUCAUGGUUAAGUGGGAAACGAUGUGGGAAGGCCCAGACAGCCAGGAUGUUGGCUUAGAAGCAGCCAUCAUUUAAAGAAAGCGUAAUAGCUCACUGGUCGAGUCGGCCUGCGCGGAAGAUGUAACGGGGCUAAACCAUGCACCGAAGCUGCGGCAGCGACGCUGAUGCGUUGUUGGGUAGGGGAGCGUUCUGUAAGCCUGCGAAGGUGUGCUGUGAGGCAUGCUGGAGGUAUCAGAAGUGCGAAUGCUGACAUAAGUAACGAUAAAGCGGGUGAAAAGCCCGCUCGCCGGAAGACCAAGGGUUCCUGUCCAACGUUAAUCGGGGCAGGGUGAGUCGACCCCUAAGGCGAGGCCGAAAGGCGUAGUCGAUGGGAAACAGGUUAAUAUUCCUGUACUUGGUGUUACUGCGAAGGGGGGACGGAGAAGGCUAUGUUGGCCGGGCGACGGUUGUCCCGGUUUAAGCGUGUAGGCUGGUUUUCCAGGCAAAUCCGGAAAAUCAAGGCUGAGGCGUGAUGACGAGGCACUACGGUGCUGAAGCAACAAAUGCCCUGCUUCCAGGAAAAGCCUCUAAGCAUCAGGUAACAUCAAAUCGUACCCCAAACCGACACAGGUGGUCAGGUAGAGAAUACCAAGGCGCUUGAGAGAACUCGGGUGAAGGAACUAGGCAAAAUGGUGCCGUAACUUCGGGAGAAGG
rnacentral:rRNA from 1 species